rnacentral:rRNA from 1 species
CCUACGGGGGGCUGCAGUGGGGAAUCUUGCGCAAUGGACGAAAGUCUGACGCAGCGACGCCGCGUGGGUGACGAAGGCCUUCGGGUUGUAAAGCCCUGUGGGGUGAGACGAACAGCUGGGGUUCAAAUAGGGCCUUGGUCUGACGGUAUCACCUUAGCAAGCACCGGCUAACUCUGUGCCAGCAGCCGCGGUAAUACAGAGGGUGCAAACGUUGCUCGGAAUUACUGGGCGUAAAGCGCGUGUAGGCGGUUUUAUAAGUCCAACGUGAAAGCCUG